AGAAUCAACGCUGGCGGCGUGCCUAACACAUGCAAGUCGAACGAGAAAGUGGAGCAAUCCACAAGUAAAGUGGCGCACGGGUGAGUAACACGUGACUAACCUACCCUUGAGUGGGGGAUAACCUAGGGAAACCUGGGCUAAUACCGCAUAAUACCUACGGUCAAAGGAGCAAUUCGCUUAUGGAGGGGGUCGCGGCCGAUUAGUUAGUUGGCGGGGUAAUGGCCCACCAAGACGAUGAUCGGUAUCCGGCCUGAGAGGGCGCACGGACACACUGGAACUGAAACACGGUCCAGACUCCUACGGGAGGCAGCAGUGGGGAAUUUUGCGCAAUGGGGGAAACCCUGACGCAGCAACGCCGCGUGGAGGAUGAAGUCCCUUGGGACGUAAACUCCUUUCGAUCGGGACGAUAAUGACGGUACCGGAAGAAGAAGCCCCGGCUAACUUCGCGCCAGCAGCCGC
rnacentral:rRNA from 1 species